AAAGAAGGCACGUGACCCGCCCGAGUCAAAACACGGCGUGUCGGCGCCCGCCGGCCAAUAAAGGAACGCGCCGGGAGCCCGAGCAUGGUGGUGAUCCUGAGUUCUUGAAGGCCGGCCAGCAGACAGCAAGCCGUGACAAGCCCUUACUGACUAGAAGGAUCCAUGUGUCCUCCCAGAUCAGCCCCAUCAUUCCAGGGAGACUCCACACCAGCCUGAACUUGGGGAUUGUUCUUAAAACUCAGCAGCUCUAGAAGAAAGACCACAAGAUCAUCAAGAGUGAUCCAGUCUGAAGAGCAGAGGAUGGAACCUGCUGAGCAAAUCACAGAGACUUAAAAGAGAGAAACAGAAUAUUUAACAGGACUGUUAUUUGUUUAGCCGGAGGAGAAGCACUUCUAGCAAAGGGUGUAGUAAUUAGGCUCCUUGCUUGUCAGGCUACUGCCUACACAGUUUAAUAUAACACUGACAUCCACAUGACAAUCAAGCUGAGUAAUAAAUGCUCCAAACCAAAUGUUUUCCAUCAAAAACGUGUCAGAAAGGAAAAAAAAAAGCUUGAUUGCCAUCUUGUUCUAUUUUUUUUUUUUUAGCCAUUCCUAGUCUUCACAACAGUUUUCUGUAUUAUAAUACACAGAUACUAAUGGAAUUUUGAAUGAUUUAUUUAAUCUAAUGCACUGUUCAGAACCCAACUCUGUGUUUGUGCAAAUUGGAUUCAAUCUUGGGGAGCUUCUCACAAUUUGCCCCUUUGGCUGAUGCUGCCACUUGAGAAAUCCGCUGGAAGAGUAAACCAACCAUUCAAUCAUUCAUGCAUUAAAUCUCCAGCCGUCCCGAUCUCUAUCUUGCCACUGGACCCACUGGCUCUGGAGGAGAGAAUGAAGUUGGUGACCUUGCACAACCCUCUGGCUCUCAAAUUCAGUUCACUUGCAAGUGAAGACAUUAUCUUCUUGAUGUCAACGGUUCUCUUCAGGAAUGAAGGACAAACAAUAACAAUAAACACAUACUAGGAAUGGGCAACACUGGAAUCAUGGCUUUCCUCGCUAGUAUCUUUGUGAUCACAACAGCUUACCAUCCUUCUCAUCCAUAACAUGAGGGCGAUUGCUAAGGUCCUUCCCAGCUUUAACAUUUGAUGGUUCUUUGAUUUGAUGGACAUUCCAUGAAGUAAAAUGAUAUGAGUGAAGUCACGGAAUAGGAAUGAGCAGGGGAGACAUAGAGGGCAGUGGGAGGAUCAGCUUGGCUGGAGCAAAGGGAUGUACACAGGGAAACAAUAAAAAAUAAAGGGCACAAAGUCAAGUAAAGUUGGUCACACCUUAAAAGCCAGGUUGGGAGGUUAGGCUUGAUGUAUGAGGAAAUGGGGAACUGUUGGUACAUCUUUGAAAGACAAUGCAAGGCAGCAGUGGUCUUGGGGUUAGGAAAAUUGGGGGGUCAGAUCUUGCCUCUGGAACUCACUAGCUCAUAGACCCAGUAACCAUAGACACAGUCACUUCCCAUUUGACCCUCAGUUUCCUCAUAUUUAAAAUCGGGGUAGGAUGGACUACAUGUGAUUUCAUGGAUAUGGAGAGAAUUUCAAGAUGGGGAAAUUCCUUGUACCAAUGCAGGUCAGCCCCUUCUCUGUGACUGAUAGGCUUAGAGAGAUAUCCCCAACAAAGAGAGGUUCCCUGACUAGACCUGGGACAGUCAGUAUGGGUUGGAGUGAGAGAAGACUUGAAUUCAGGUCUUCUUUAAGACCAUUUCCUUAUUCAAUAUAAUAAGCUACCUCUCCUCUCUCCUGAGGAUCUCCUGGUCUUCUGAAAUACCAUGUAAAGAUGAGGGAAGGUAACAACACUGGAGACAUCUUCAAAAAGAUCCCCAAACCCUUGGUACAGGGAAAUAGAAUAAUAUUAAAUAUCUUGGAAUUUUCAUAAAUUUGAUGGUGACAUUUAUCCAUUUUUGUUUUCUCCUUUUUUUUCUUUUGUU